GUGUUUUAUUAGUGUGUAGUAGGACUGGGUUGCUUGUGUUCGUCUAGGCCUAGUAGUCGCCACGUGUUUGUUGUUCUGGGUCUCUGCUAGUGUUGGUGGGAAUGUGCUUCUUGUCAAGCAUGGUUACAGAUUUCUGCUGUGCUCAUUGGCUCAUUUGAAAUAUUGGAACGUUUCCGACCUGCCCCCUGUCCGUUCAAGGUUGUGGUAGUUUGGUGUCUUUGAGCUCUAGGAUUCUAGAUCCUAAUUACGUCCUUUUUCUUUUUGUCCUUCUGUGGGUGAU